GUCUACGGCCACGCCACCCUGAACACACCCGAUCCCGUCUGAGCUCAGAAGCUAAGCAGAGUCGGGCCUGGUUCGUACUUGGAUGGGAGACCACCUAGGAAGACCAGGUGGUGCAGGCA
rnacentral:rRNA from 1 species